rnacentral:tRNA from 1 species
GUAGUCAUAGCUCAGCUGGGAGAGCGCUACGCUGGCAGCGUAGAGGUCAGGGGUUCGAGCCCCCUUGGCUCCA